CACUUGUCCCUAUCUGAUGCUGAUCCAAUCUCUUUUAUUUGAUUGAUUGUUGAAUCUAUUGAUGAGUGAGCCGUUCAGCCAGAUUCCCCAGCAGCAAGGUCAGCGGACUGUGAUUCCUCAGCGGGGAGGCUGGGGUCUGUGUGGAGGAGACUCCUCUUGGCAGGAGCAGUUUGAGUAUGCAGAACACAUCGGCACAGCCUAGAGCUGGCAGUUAGUGUAUGCGCGACACACACACACACACACACACACACACACACACACACACACACACACACACACACACACACACCAGUGCUUUCCCCUCAAGUGAGGCAGCGUUAGCAACUGCAGUCCCAGCUUCCUCUGCUGAGGUACAAGCGGCCACUGCCUGAUUUGUUGGAGGAGCGCUAGAGUCCAGUAUCUGAGGGACUGGUAACACGCAGCUGUCACAGCUAGUGGCAGACAGCCCACUUCUUCCCAGCUGCUUCGCCAGCCCUGGCAAGAGGGCAUACUCUUCCAAAAGCCAGCCUGCCUGGUGAGGAGGUUGCUUCACACUGAAGUGUCCAUUUUGCUAGGAGAUGGAUGCUAAGAUGUAAACUGACUGAUCACCCGAAGUAACUGUCUCACCACAUCAAUCUAUUGAUUCUCACUGCAUGGAGUGAAGAAGAAACCACCAGAUCAGGAAAAUGACAGAAAGUGUACGUGAUGUGGCCACCAAACCAGAAAACAUGAUCGGGGAACGGGAAUAAAUGGUAGGUGCACUGUUGCAUGGAGAAGGCGGAAUUAGUUCCCUGCAUGCUUCAUUAAUCUGCAUUUAGUCAUUGUUGCCUUUGUACAAAGAGAAAGGCAAAAUUCUUAUUUCAGUAUUCUAUCUUAUGUCUUCACAACACUCAAUAUUAUUUGAAACAGUCCUGUUCAACUAUUUAAAAUCUUGAGUAUUAAUUCUUCCCCUCAUAAGAAUGUAAGCUCCAUGAUAGCACGUACCUUUCCUGUCUUUAUUGAAUGAAUGAAUAAAUACCUUUAUAUUCAAACAGGAUAAAUUCUACCUUAUAUCAUAUAUUCAUUCACUGAAUCAUUUAAAGAAUGUGUGUUGUAUGCUGAAGUAGGUAUAUUCACAUAAUAUAUGCACACAAGUAUGCACAAACAAUAGGCAAAUUUGCAUAACAAGUGAGGUAGUAAGCUUCAAAUAGUGGUUGGACCUCUGCCUUGUGUCAUGAACUCGGAAAGCUCCACAGCUUUCUGUGCCUCUCUCGUCACAUCUAUAAAAUGCUAAAGUAUGCUGGCUUUAGCCUGCCCCAGCAAUAGCAUGUACUCUGUUGCUUCUGCCCUGACUUAGGGCUGGACCACUGAGAAUCUGGCCUGGUAGAAAGUAGGUGAUUUUCUCCUACUAAAACACAGCAUCUAGACACAGCCUACAGAUCGCACACCAGAUGCUCCCUUUGCAUGUUUAUAAGCAAAAUUGGGCACUUUCAGGAGCCCCAGGACGCGACAGGGAUCUGUCCACUAUCAGGUGUGAUUGUGGGGCUAGAUUGGCUGCUGUCUGGGCCCUUGGUUCUCCCUCCAGUCUCCACAGAAAGAGGACCCUGGUCCUCAGACUCUGGUCUGCUGUGGACUUGGCACAUAGUAAGUCUGCUAACCCCUUUCCUGGAGUCUAGGCCCUGUGCUUGGCUUUCUAGAUAUUACUUUAGUAUCUCCAAGUUCUAUAGGUUGGCCAAACUCCAGAUGCCCUAACUCCUUACAUCUGAUGCCUUAAAUGCUGACAUUUCAAGCCAAGCUUAAGUUUUUCUACAACUCUUCUGAAUCUCCCAAGUCGAAUAGCUGACAGAUUCAAAAGAGAUGUGAAAAAAUUUAAGCUUGAUCCUCCCUUAUCACAAUUAGUCUGGUGAAUUUCCCUCAGUUACCACACUGUACUCACUACUGUUUCAGUGCUAUGUAAAGGGGAAAGAUGGUUAUAAACUGUGUAGCAUCUUGUUUGUGUUUAUAUGUAUUUAGGACAGAUCUAACAGGAGUCAUUGAAUACCCUUGCAAAAUAAAGUCCCUUUGAGAUGUGAAGAGUGUAAUUUGCAAGAUCAGUUGCAAACAAUCUCCACUAAUCAUUAAAUACAAGGUGCAUUCACUCCUCAGGUGGGUAG